rnacentral:misc_RNA from 1 species
GAUGUAGAACGUAGCGAAAUGCGAUACUUGGUGUGAAUUGCAGAAUCCCGUGAACCAUCGAGUCUUUGAACGCAAGUUGCGCCCGAAGCCAUUAGGCCGAGGGCACGCCUGCCUGGGCGUCACACGUCGUUGCCCCCCCAUCUACUCCUUCGGGAUUGCGGGGGGCGGAUGAUGGCCUCCCGUGCGCCUCGUCGCGCGGUUGGCAUAAAUGCCAAGUCCUCGGCGACGCACGCCACGACAAUCGGUGGUUGCGAAACCUCGGUUGCCCGUCGUGUGCGGUCGUCGCGCAUCGAGGGCUCGAAAAAAUUGUCGGGCUCCGGCUCGGCUUUCAACGCGACCCCAGGUCAGGCGGGGUUACCCGCUGAAUUUAAGCAUAUCAAUAAGCGGAGGA